AUUGAACGCUGGCGGCAUGCCUUACACAUGCAAGUCGAACGGUAACAGGUUAAGCUGACGAGUGGCGAACGGGUGAGUAAUACAUCGGAACGUGCCCAGACGUGGGGGAUAGCUCGGCGAAAGCCGGAUUAAUACCGCAUAAGCUCUGAGGAGGAAAGCGGGGGACCGUAAGGCCUCGCGCGUCUGGAGCGGCCGAUGGCAGAUUAGGUAGUUGGUGGGGUAAAGGCUUACCAAGCCAACGAUCUGUAGCUGGUCUGAGAGGACGACCAGCCACACUGGGACUGAGACACGGCCCAGACUCCUACGGGAGGCAGCAGUGGGGAAUUUUGGACAAUGGGCGCAAGCCUGAUCCAGCAAUGCCGCGUGCAGGAUGAAGGCCUUCGGGUUGUAAACUGCUUUUGUACGGAACGAAAAGGCGCCUACUAAUACUGGGUGUUGAUGACGGUACCGUAAGAAUAAGCACCGGCUAACUACGUGCCAGCAGCCGCAGUAACAC
rnacentral:rRNA from 1 species